UACGGAGGGUGCAAGCGUUGUCCGGAUUUACUGGGUUUAAAGGGUGCGUAGGUGGGUCUGUAAGUCAGUGGUGAAAUCUUCGAGCUUAACUCGGAAACUGCCAUUGAUACUAUAGGUCUUGAAUUAUCUGGAGGUAAGCGGAAUAUGUCAUGUAGCGGUGAAAUGCUUAGAUAUGACAUAGAACACCAAUUGCGAAGGCAGCUUACUACGGAUUGAUUGACACUGAGGCACGAAAGCGUGGGGAUCAAACAGG
rnacentral:rRNA from 1 species